CAUGACAAAGCACCUACCUGCUGUGCACAACCUCCCAAGCACCAUUCCUUUUAGUCAAUCCCUCCCUGCUCUUUCACCUGCUCAGCCUGCACUCCUCUUCUCCUCAAUCCAGGAUGUCAAAAUUCAUCUAGAAGACAGAGCAGGCUUCAUGGAGGAGCUAUGAUAAACGAUGCACAUGUGUAUCCUAUGAAUUACUAUACAAAAACAAUACAAAAGCAGGAGCCAGGAACUAACAAUCCAGGAAGGAUCAGAGAAAACACAGCUUUGAGGUAGAAUGUGACAAAGAACAAAGGGAGGCUUAGACAAUAAAGAAGAUUUUAUUUUAUUUUAUUUUUUUUAGUUUUAGUUUUAUUUACUUAAUUAUUUAUUCUUUUUAAAUAUAUUUUUGUUAUUAUUUAUUUUAUUAUUAUUUUUUAUUUAUCCUUUGUGAUCCCUGGUUUGUUAAAGGUUUAUAUUCACUUCAUGUGUUCUUUAGUGUGUUUAGGUUUGCUCCUAGUUCUCAGUUGGUUUAGAGUUUAGCUCUUUUCCCGGUGUUUCAUCCUCUGUAAGGUCCAUUAACAUGUCUGCAGUUUCCCUAUUUAGUUCUGUCACUUCCUUUUUUAUUUUGGAGGUUGUGUUCCUUUUUCAUUGUCUUAAAUUUUGCUUCCUUUCUCUGGUCUGUUAUUCUCUAUUCUGUUCUAUUUGUUAUCUUCACUGCUGUAAUCACCCUUUUGAGUAUAUAUAGUUAUUGUCUUCUCCUUUGUCUUUUUCAGAGUGUCAGUUCAUUUUCCCCUCUUAUUUCCCAGCUCCAGCUCUCCCUUGCCUAGUAUUAGUUCUCAGUUUAGGUGCAGUUUCUUUUUUUCCUUUAGUUCUUUUUUUGUACUUUGGUCAUCAGCCAGUUUUUUGUUUACUCCAUCUACCUGUGAGUCAAAGUCAAAAAUCUCAAAUAAUCUCAAACAGCUUUAUUAAACAUGACAGUGAAUUAGAUGACCUCCACAGUCACCAGAUCGCUCCAACAGAGCACCUUUGGGUUUUACAUAAUGGAUGUGCAACCAACAAAUGUGUAGCAACUGUGUGAUGCAAUCACGUCAAUGUCCUCCUGAGAAACAGCCUAUUCAUUUAUGUCCUAUUUGAGCUACCCUGUUAAGGCCUGAUCUACUAAAUAGAGGACAUCCUGGGCUUCCCAUUGAUAGCUUGUGUGGUUUGGGUGGCUUCUCUUAGCUCCAAAGAGGAAGGAAGUCUUAGGAAAAAAGUUCAAUGAUUAGAUUCUUUUUUCCUCGGUUCAGGAGGAUAUGGAUCAAAAUUUCUGAGAAAUAUUUCCAAUGUUUAUCCACUGCCUGACAACUUCACUGUAACACAUGAAAGAGGGGAAAAAGAUUGGAGCCUA